CGUAAUUAUGGAUCAAUUACUAGAUCAAUGAUUUUCCGAUAGCAAAAAAUACCGUCCAUCAUUCCAUUCAGGAUUUUAUAAAAAAAAAAUACAGGAACAGCAUUUCCUUAUUUAAAGAUGCGACGUGGAGGCUAUUGGCUUUUCACCAAGAAAACAACUAGCUAGAGGUAAAACGAGAUAAGAUAUAUGAUGAUGGAUAGAUACAUGAAUAACAAAUACUUUCUUAAAGAUCAAUUGAAACAGGGAUACAAAAUAGGCUUUGGUGUGAAAAGAAUCCUACCCUUGACAGGAAAUCGCAGAGGCAAAUGAAGGCGCAAAACAGACGUGAAGAUUAUUAUCCAAUGAGAAAAGGAAAGACAAAAACACUAUUUGGAUAAUGCUUCCUAAGUAACCCAAGCAAACAAUCUAAUCAAUAAAUCCAUCUUCUUAAGAUUAAUGCACGAGCAAUAAAAUGUCAAAAUAAGCUUCA